rnacentral:rRNA from 1 species
AUACUGGCAAACUAGAGUAUGGCACAGGAAUGGGGAAUUUCUGGUGUAGCGGUGAAAUGCGUAGAGAUCAGAAGGAACACCAAUGGCGAAGGCAACAUUCUGGACCAAUACUGACACUGAGGGACGAAAGCGUGGGGAUCAAACAGGAUUAGAUACCCUGGUAGUCCACGCUGUAAACGAUGAGUACUAGCUGUUGGAUUCGGUGUAAAGGAUCUAGUGGCGUAGCUAACGCGUUAAGUACUCCGCCUGGGGACUACGGCCGCAAGGCUAAAACUCAAAGGAAUUGACGGGGACCCGCACAAGCGGUGGAGCAUGUGGUUUAAUUCGAUGCAACGCGAAGAACCUUACCUGGUCUUGACAUCCUGCGAACUUUCUAGAGAUAGAUUGGUGCCUUCGGGAACGCAGUGACAGGUGCUGCACGGCUGUCGUCAGCUCGUGUUGUGAAAUGUUGGGUUAAGUCCCGCAACGAGCGCAACCCCUAUUGAUAGUUACCAUCAUUAAGUUGGGUACUCUAUUGAGACUGCCGCUGACAAGGCGGAGGAAGGUGGGGACGACGUCAAGUCAUCAUGGCCCUUACGACCAGGGCUACACACGUGCUACAAUGGGUAUUACAGAGGGCAGCGAAGUAGCGAUAUGGAGCGAAACUCAGAAAGGUACUCUUAGUCCGGAUUGCAGUCUGCAACUCGACUGCAUGAAGUCGGAAUCGCUAGUAAUCGCAGGUCAAAAUACUGCGGUGAAUACGUUCCCGGGUCUUG